rnacentral:rRNA from 1 species
UACGAAGGGGGCUAGCGUUGUUCGGAAUUACUGGGCGUAAAGCGCGUGUAGGCGGGUCUUUAAGUCAGGGGGAAAAUCCUGGAGCUCAACUCCAGAACUGCCUUUGAUACUGAGGAUCUUGAGUUCGGGAGAGGUGAGUGGAACUGCGAGUGUAGAGGUGAAAUUCGUAGAUAUUCGCAAGAACACCAGUGGCGAAGGCGGCUCACUGGCCCGAUACUGACGCUGAGGCACGAAAGCGUGGGGAGCAAACAGG